GCAACGCCGCGUGGAGGAUGACGCAUUUCGGUGUGUAAACUCCUUUUAUAAGGGAAGAUAAUGACGGUACCUUAUGAAUAAGCACCGGCUAACUCCGUGCCAGCAGCCGCGGUAAUACGGAGGGUGCAAGCGUUACUCGGAAUCACUGGGCGUAAAGGAUGCGUAGGCUGGAAAUCAAGUCGAGAGUGAAAUCCAACGGCUCAACCGUUGAACUGCUCUCGAAACUGGUUACCUAGAAUAUGGGAGAGGUAGAUGGAAUUGGUGGUGUAGGGGUAAAAUCCGUAGAUAUCACCAGGAAUACCGAUUGCGAAGGCGAUCUACUGGAACAUUAUUGACGCUGAGGCAUGAAAGCGUGGGGAGCAAACAGGAUUAGAUACCCUGGUAGUCCACGCCCUAAACGAUGCACACUAGUUGUUGCGAUGCUAGUCAUUGCAGUAAUGCACUUAACAGAUUAAGUGUGCCGCCUGGGGAGUACGGUCGCAAGAUUAAAACUCAAAGGAAUAGACGGGGACCCGCACAAGCGGUGGAGCAUGUGGUUUAAUUCGAAGAUACACGAAGAACCUUACCUGGCCUUGAUAUCCUAAGAAUCCUUUAGAGAUAAGGGAGUGCUAGUUUACUAGAACUUAGAGACAGGUGCUGCACGGCUGUCGUCAGCUCGUGUCGUGAGAUGUUGGGUUAAGUCCCGCAACGAGCGCAACCCUCGUGAUUAGUUGCUAACAGUUCGGCUGAGCACUCUAAUCAGACUGCCUUCGCAAGGAGGAGGAAGGUGAGGACGACGUCAGUCAUCAUGGCCCUUAUGGCCAGGGCUACACACGUGCUACAAUGGCUAGGACAAAGAGACGCGAUACUGCGAAGUGGAGCAAAUCUUAAAACCUAGUCUCAGUUCGGAUUGGAGUCUGCAACUCGACUCCAUGAAGCUGGAAUCCGCUAGUAAUC
rnacentral:rRNA from 1 species